AGAGUUUGAUCCUGGCUCAGAUUGAACGCUGGCGGCGUGCUUAACACAUGCAAGUCGAUCGGUAACAGGUGUAGCAAUACAUGCUGACGAGAGGCGAACGGGUGAGGAAUAUUUGGGAAUCUGCCCAUCAGCGGGGGACAACCCGGGGAAACCCGGGCUAAUACCGCAUACGCUCUUUGGAGGAAAGCCGGGGACCGUAAGGCCUGGCACUGAUGGAUGAGCCCAAAUCGGAUUAGCUAGUUGGCGGGGUAACGGCCCACCAAGGCGACGAUCCGUAGCUGGUCUGAGAGGACGAUCAGCCACACCGGAACUGAGACACGGUCCAGACUCCUACGGGAGGCAGCAGUGGGGAAUAUUGGACAAUGGGGGAAAGCCUGAUCCAGCGACGCCGCGUGGGUGAAGAAGGCCUGCGGGUUGUAAAGCACUUUCGAUAGGAGACGAAAUCUGCUUGCUUUAAUACAUGCAGAUAGGCUGACUUAACUUACAUAAGAGACC
rnacentral:rRNA from 1 species